CAUUGCAGGGGUAACUGUAAGUUUGGACAUGCUGAGACAUGCUGGACAAGAGACAGCAUGUAUGUACCUUCUCAUGUUGCUGCUGGCCUACGGGCUUCUUUGGUGGUCCAAUAAAGGCUAAGGAAAACUGAGUGCGUGCUCUGAGUGGGAAUUCCUACUGUUUCAAGGUGGUCAUCAGUCAUAGCAACUGGAGAAACAGCUUCUGGAUGCACUGGACAUCAAAGGAAGUGCCUGGAUGUGUGAAAAAAUGACUUCCUAUGAAGACCACCAAGAUUAAUGCAUUUUCCUCUAGCAGUUGCAAAUUUGUCUUGCUCUGCUCUUCCCCCACUUCUCAAACUGUGUCAUUUUAAUCAAGUUUCUGUAAAAUACUGUUCUAAAUUGUUAUACUCCACAAGACUGAUUACUAGUUAUAUGUAGAAUGUGAGAAAGGAGAAGGGAAGCUAAUUUUAUUAUUACCUCAGGAGACUGUAUCCACUUUGUCUUAAACCUCAGUAUGUAAGGUCACCAAAGAGAGUGUUAUUUUUUGAUAAGCAAAAUAGGUACAAUAUUACUUCUGAAACAGCUAAGUGAUUUGGAAGCUAAAGCACAGUCAUCUCAUAAUCGGAGUGGCUCCAAACUGUGGUGUUUAAGGAGAGGGGGCAAGCCCUGUUUUGGAGUGGUCUGGACUCAAAUUUUGCUAUUACUUAAAAUGUAUCAUUUUGAAUGCCAGAAUGUCUUACUGAGUACAUUCAUUAAAGCUGUAUUUCUACCUCAUCCAGCCUUUAAAUAUGCUCAUACAUUCUAGUAAUUACACCACUGCCUCUUUGUGCUAAUAUAUGAGUUUAGCUGUCAUUUUGAUAUUUUAAUGUUAGUCACUAUGCAGCUCACAAAUAUUUAGAUAAAUAAAAUCCCGAAUGUCAAACCUCCCACCCACAUAACAAAGAUAAUAUUUUUGAUCCUGUAUCUGUUGUUCAUUGCUUUAGCUCCAUAUAAAUUUUUAUCCUGAUUGUAAAAUCACCUGAUCAUGCAUUUGCAAUGCAUUUCUAUUGAUCUCAAUUUUGAAUAAUUUCUUUCACAAUGGCAAGGGUAAUAAUCGUAUUUAUUUUGGCAUAUGCAUUCAGUAUAUGCCCUCCCUGCUGUGUAAACAUGCAGAGAGCUGGUAUUAGAAAGAUCCUGCUUUGCCUGUGCAUGUGUCUGAAAAAUAACAGGUCAUAACUGGUUGGAACAACAUAAAGCAUGUUUACUGAAGUAACUGACAGGGACAAAAAAUUGUUCCCUGCAGGGUGUGAGCAUGCAAGUCUGGUACAACACACAGACAAAGUGAGAGGAAAACACCAGUGUCUUGCCUUGCAAGUUUUUUUUUGCCUCAGUGCAGAGAAUAAUUGUGAAAAGCUAUGACCUGCAACCUAUAAGGCAUCAAGCCCCUUUAAACUCCCUAGAGAUUGCCUGACCAAACGUUUCUCCUCAGUGCACAAGGAUUUGGAAUGGGGUUGCCCAGUGACCCCAACCAUUAGCUGCUUUUGUCCUCUCAAAUAUUAAUUAAGAGGGUUCAAGCCACAAGUGAGAGGUUGAGGAGCCUGGACUUGCUAAGGCAGAAAACCGGGAGGAUUUACUUUGCACAGCUUAGUAGCGAAAUGCAUGUAUUGAUGUCAAGGGAGUCCAAGUUUUUAAGGACUGGGCAAGGAACCAAAAAAAUCCUGUCUGUGAUUUCACUCUCUGGCACACUGUGCAGAUAUAGUCUGCCCAUUUUACCUUUUUCAUGUUAGUCACCCUACUUGCAGCAUGGGGGUAAUACCUGGCUAAUGUUGUUAUGGGGUGACUUCAUCAGCGUGGGUGAACAUUCUGAACAUAAAGAAAAGCCAAGUGACAGGAGCUUAGUUUUAUUAAGCCAUCCUACUUCCUUCUGUAUCUGACUGAGAUUUGUUUCAUAUGUACCUACCUAGCUGCCUCUUCAUACACACCAACAAUUUGUGCAACAGAAAUUUACAGUCUAUUAAAGAAAAUUUACACUCUCUUAAAGAACAAGGAGAAACAUGUAGGUGUGAAUUUUCAAUGCUGUUGUAGCAAUAUAUUUGUUUGCACAGAUAUACUUCAGAAAGAGAUGGAAUUUUGUACAGUGUUUUAUGGUGUUCUAAGAAACAAUUGGAGCCAAACGCCUGUACAUUAAUUAAAAUCUUUUGUUGCAAUUUUAUAGUAUCAUUUUUAUUUUUUCUAUCAUGAGUGGAGUAAUCUAUUAAUAAUUUUUUCUCAU
rnacentral:lncRNA from 7 species